GGGGCCCGCACAAGCGGAGGAACAUGUGGUUAAUUCGAUGAUACGCGAGGAACCUUACCUGGGCUUAAAUGGGGAGUGACAGCUGUCGAAAGAUGGUUUUCUUCGGACACUCUUCAAGGUGCUGCAUGGUUGUCGUCAGCUCGUGCCGUGAGGUGUCGGGUUAAGUCCCAUAACGAGCGCAACCCUUACCGUUAGUUACCAUCAGGUUAAGCUGGGGACUCUAGCGGGACUGCCACCGUAAGGUGAGAGGAAGUGGGGAUGACGUCAAAUCAGCACGGCCCUUAUGUCCAGGGCUACACACGUGUUACAAUGGCCGGUACAAAGGGCAGCUACUUCGCGAGAAGAUGCUAAUCUCGAAAGCCGGUCUCAGUUCGGAUCGAAGUCUGCAACCCGACUUCGUGAAGCUGGAUUCGCUAGUAAUCGCGCAUCAGCCAUGGCGCGGUGAAUACGUUCCCGGGCCUU
rnacentral:rRNA from 1 species